rnacentral:piRNA from 1 species
UAAAUUGACUAUGGUAAAUACGUAAUAA